GACGAACGCUGGCGGCGUGCUUAACACAUGCAAGUCGAACGGAAAGGCCCCUUUGGGGGUACUCGAGUGGCGAACGGGUGAGUAACACGUGAGUAACCUGCCCUUGACUUCGGGAUAACUUCAGGAAACUGGGGCUAAUACCGGAUAGGAAUCCUUGCUGCAUGGUGGGGGUUGGAAAGCUUCGGCGGUUUUGGAUGGACUCGCGGCUUAUCAGCUUGUUGGUGGGGUAGUGGCUUACCAAGGCUUUGACGGGUAGCCGGCCUGAGAGGGCGACCGGCCACAUUGGGACUGAGAUACGGCCCAGACGCCUACGGGAGGCAGCAGUGGGGAAUAUUGCACAAUGGGCGGAAGCCUGAUGCAGCAACGCCGCGUGCGGGAUGACGGCCUUCGGGUUGUAAACCGCUUUCAGCAGGGGCGAAGCUUGUGGUGACGGUACCUUCAGAAGAAGCACCGGCUAACUACGUG
rnacentral:rRNA from 1 species